CAACUUCAAGAUAAGAUUUCCCACCGCAAGGGUAAGACCCCAGAAAGACUAUCUGGUUGAUAGGUCGAAGGUGUAAGUGCAGCAAUGUAUUUAGCUUAUCGAUACUAAUAGGUCGAGGACUUGACCAAUAUU
rnacentral:rRNA from 1 species